CCUUACGGGAGGCAGCAGUGGGGAAUAUUGGACAAUGGGGGGAACCCUGAUCCAGCGACGCCGCGUGAGUGAAGAAGUCUUUCGGUAUGUAAAGCUCUAUCAGCAGGGAAGAAAGCAAUGACGGUACCUGACUACGAAUCCCCGGCUAACUACGUGCCAGCAGCCGCGGUCAUACGUAGGGGGCAAGCGUUAUCCGGAUUUACUGGGUGUAAAGGGAGCGUAGACGGCAGCGCAAGUCUGGAGUGAAAUCCCAUGGCUUAACCAUGGAACUGCUUUGGAAACUGUGCAGCUAGAGUGCAGGAGAGGUAAGCGGAAUUCCUAGUGUAGCGGUGAAAUGCGUAGAUAUUAGGAGGAACACCAGUGGCGAAGGCGGCUUACUGGACUGUAACUGACGUUGAGGCUCGAAAGCGUGGGGAGCAAACAGGAUUAGAUACCCCUGUAGUC
rnacentral:rRNA from 1 species